rnacentral:pre_miRNA from 14 species
UAGGGCCUAUUGUAGCAGGCAUGUCUUCAUUCCUGCGUACCGAAUGGCAUGAAGGCACAGCCUGUUACCAUUGGCACCUU